GGGCAUGUUUUGGUUUCCAGAGUAAUUUCUUCUCGCUGCCAAAGGUCCCUCAAGCUGGUGUGAUGAUGAGGACAGUCUCCGACAGAAGUUUCCAGAGAACCCCUUCUCUAUGACGCAAAUGGAAGAAGAGGUAUGGAGGUUUGGAUGGCAACAAAUGACUUGAGCCAAACGAGGAGGGCAUGAGAGAUUCUGAAGUUUUCCUGGACCAGCCUUGCUGACGGGCAUUUUACGGCUUUGUGGGUGAGAAUGAAGGAGAGCUGGGCUUCAAGGAGGGCGACCUCAUCAUCCUUACCAGAUUGAUGACAACUGGUACCAGGGCAUGAUCAGCGGGGAGUCUGGCUUCUUUCCCAUCAGCUACGUCAACGUCCUUGUGCCUUUGCUACAGUGACACAUUCCUAGGAAUACAAACAAUAGCAUUAUUGCAUUAUUUAUUGAGUCAGAUGAGCAUGAGCAUAAUUUCACUUAUAACUUUAUUCUUACAAAUGUAUGGGUUGAUCACAGAGCCAAAGCAAACUAGCAGUUACUGCAAUUCUCACUAAAAGAUAAAUUGAUUAACAGAUUACCUCUCGAAAUGGUCUCAGUUCAGUUCGCUUCGGGGCUCUUUUGAGGGGUCUGAGUUCCCUUGGAGUGUUCACAAUUCACAAAAAAUUCAGCGAACCACACUGAGUUCACAGACAUUUUCUGAAAGGGACCAAAUGUGAAAACACCCUGAAAGUCUUCAAACACACAGUCCCUAUACAGAUCACACACACUCAAUUCAAGUAGAUCAAGCAAACGCAUCAUCACAUGACUAGCUAGUAGUCUAUAAGUAAAUAGGCUGUGCAUAAAUGGUUAGCUAGCUAUCUUUUUCACAGAGACACACUGUACAAAAGGCUGUGAAGGAUUUGUAGUUAAUCAUAUCAGUAAUGUUAGUUCAUCAUAUCAGAGCUGUAGCUCCGCCUACCAGUGAAGUGGAGCAGAGCAUGCUGGGCGAUCUCCAGCUCAGAGAAGAAUAUCAGCUCGAGAGAAGUCAAGUGAGAUAAAGUUCCAGCCAUCCUUGUGUUUUCCCACCAGUUAGCUUUCAUUGUGUUCGCCAAGGCCACACACACACACACACUUUGGUGCCUUAGCCCAUCCAUACUACAUACACUGUGUGGUGCUGUUCCGUGCCUGUGCGUCUUCAUUGUUAUUAAACCACCUCAACUGGAA